rnacentral:tRNA from 1 species
UAGCUCAGUCGGUUAGAGUGUGGUGCUAAUAACACCAAGGUCACAGGUUCAAUUCCCGU